AACACGCCCCGGAUUGCUCAGAACCCUAACAUGAAACAUAUAAAAGAAGUAUGAUUAAACAAUAAAAAAUGCCUAAAUCCAAAUCCAGAGAAGUUAAAAUAGUCCACUCAGAUAAACGUAUAGCAAAACUAGAUGAUGAAUCAUUAAGAAAGUUGACAGACUCAGAUGGGCCCUGUAACGAAUGUAUUUGCAAUCUAAUAGACCCUCCGAAACGUCCAUUUGAUUUAAGAAAUGCUAUUCGAAGCGCAUUCGACUCACUUCAAAUGUACACAGAUUCAACUGCAAAGUCCCUAGGGAUUACAUCAUCCUCCAAUCUAGCAGGGCCCAGUGCUAAGGACAAAGAAAAAGAAAAAGCGAAGGGCGGGAAAAAGAAAUAAUUUGUGUUACAAUGACAUUAGAACAAUUAAAAAAAUUGGAAACUAAAUCAUUGAAGGGCCUCAAGGAGAACGUGUCAGGGCCCUGCGACGAAUGCAUAUGUGCAAUAUUAGCCACACCCGCAGACGCGUUAACACGCGGGAAUUGUUUCAGAAGAUUUUUUUCAUGCUUUAUAAAAACUAAGACAGCUAAAAAUAUGAAAUCCAUAAAUAG